rnacentral:rRNA from 1 species
UACAGAGGUCUCAAGCGUUGUUCGGAUUCAUUGGGCGUAAAGGGUGCGUAGGCGGCGCGGUAAGUCGGGUGUGAAAUCUCGGAGCUUAACUCCGAAACUGCAUUCGAUACUGCCGUGCUUGAGGACUGGAGAGGAGACUGGAAUUUACGGUGUAGCGGUGAAAUGCGUAGAUAUCGAGAGGAACACCUGCGGCGAAGGCGGGUUGCUGGGCUGACACUGACGCUGAAGUGCGAAAGCUAGGGGAGCGAACGGG